rnacentral:misc_RNA from 1 species
AAGUCGUAACAAGGUUUCCGUAGGUGAACCUGCGGAAGGAUCAUUAACACGUAUCCAAACGUUAAACCCCCCUGUGAACCUUCACCUGUACUCGUACGUCCGUUAGAAAAAGCAGCAAUCCCUGGUAAAUCAUCGCCGAACAGUUUUCGAUUCAGGGAUGUCUGCAAGGAGCGUGCAUGUUGUGCGAGCGACGACCGGGUCACUGGGCGCAAGCCCCCCUAUAACAAACGCUAAUCGCGGCCGCGAUAAUACGACCAAAAACCGAACAACUGUUAACAAUGGAUAUCUUGGUUCUC